rnacentral:lncRNA from 1 species
AGCUUUGAAGAUACUUCAGGAAGGAGUAUUGAUGGAGAGGCAAGCCAGUGUUUGAUCAGCCAUCCACCAGGCUGAAUCUCCUCAUGAAUUGCAAGAACCAGUUGACUUAAGCACAGACCGUUUGGUUGUUGAGCUCCUGGUUCAAAAGACUUACAAGAGGCAGGGAGAAGAGAUCAAGGGAGGAACCAGUUAGCUUAAGCGCAGCUGGUAGGGUGAUGCGCUCCUGGUUUCAAGACACAGUGUUGCUCACUUCCAAGCUUGGUCCUUCACUCAUUUUCUCCGGAUCAAGCUUGAGGAGGGGUAAUGGUGAGCAAUCCUGAAGGUCCAAGUCAUUUGUUGCCUCAGUUACCUCUAAAGGCAUUGGAGCAGAGACCAAGGGUGGAUCAGUUGGCUUAAGCGCAGGUGUUGGUACUGUUGUGCUCCUGGUUUAGGUUCAGUAUUGCUCACUUUCCAAGCUUGAUCCUUCACUUAUACUCUCCGGAGCAUCAUUCCUGAAGGUUCAAGUCGUCCAUUGCCUCACCACAGAUCAGAAGUGGAGUUCACCAGCCAUCUAGAACCCACUACAAAGAAACAUCAACAUGGACAGCAACAACUUGGUGUUAGAACAGAUGUCCAUCAUAGACUACUUGACAAGAAAAUCAGGUGGAGC